rnacentral:rRNA from 1 species
CCUACGGGCGGCAGCAGUGGGGAAUAUUGGGCAAUGGGCGCAAGCCUGACCCAGCAACGCCGCGUGAAGGAAGAAGGCUUUCGGGUUGUAAACCUCUUUUAUGAGGGACGAAAGAAGUGACGGUACCUCACGAAUAAGCCACGGCUAACUACGUGCCAGCAGCCGCGGUAAUACGUAGGUGGCGAGCGUUAUCCGGAAUUACUGGGUGUAAAGGGCGUGUAGGCGGGCUUGCAAGUCAGGUGUGAAAGCUAUGGGCUCAACCCAUGGCCUGCAUUGGAAACUGUAGGUCUGGAGUGAUGGAGAGGCAGGCGGAAUUCCGUGUGUAGCGGUGAAAUGCGUAGAUAUACGGAGGAACACCAGUGGCGAAGGCGGCCUGCUGGACAUUAACUGACGCUGAGGCGCGAAAGCGUGGGGAGCAAACAGGAUUAGAUACCCCUGUAGUC